rnacentral:lncRNA from 1 species
AAUGUUUUUCUUAGUUGCUAGAACCAUCUGAGCUUAAAUUUAAAAACAUUUUUUCUAAAAACAAAAUUGGUUUCUGAAUCAAAUGUGUAUUUCUUUCCUAUAGGGGCUUUGUUAUGCACCUAAAGCCAUACUGGAAGGUCCAGAAGAAAGAGCACCCCCCGGAAGUCAGCAGGGAAACGCAGAGAACUCCUAUGAACCACCAAAAGGCUGUGAAUGAUGAAACAUGCAAAGCUGGCCACAUAACACCAAGUGUCUUUCCUUCAGCCUCUCUUGCCCUCCCUUGAUCAUUUGAAGCAAAAACCAGACCCAUGGAUACUAGAGGAGUCAGGGAGCUGCUUCCUCUUGUCCCUGGAGUGGUUCACCUCUCCCCUGCCCAGUGGAUGGUCCAGACCCAACGAAGGAGUGAAUUGAAAGCUAAGGAAGGGCCAAGCUUCAUCUCACAUUCAUGGUUUCAUAAGAGGCUUAAGAAAACCACUACAAUUGCGCAUCUCUCAGCUGAAGACAAUCUCCACCACCGAGCUCCAAAUCCCACUCUUACAACUGGUGAGACUAAGUUCUUCUGAGGGUUUUAAGUAGCUAGACAACUCUUACAAGAUUGUGUUUAUUUGGUAUCUGUUCAAAUCCACCAUCUUCACUCUCUAUGAACUCCAGAACUGGAUGGGAAAAUGGAAGGCCAGCAAUCAUGAAGCUGAGCACUUAAAACAGAGAUCCCAGCAGUGUCGAAGAACCCAUAAGGGGCCGGGCAUGGUGCUCACGUCUGUAAUCCUAGCACUUUGGGAGGCCGAGGCAAGCGGAUCACCUGAAGUCAGGAGUUCAAGACCAGCCUGGCCAACAUGGUGAAACCCCGUCUCUACUAAAAUACAAAAAUUAGCCGAGCAUAAUGGCGGGUGCCUAUAAUCCCAGUGACUCGGGAGGCUGAGAUGGGAGAAUUGCUUGAACCCAGGAAAUGGUGGUUGCAGUGAGCCGAGAUGGCACCACUGCACUCCAGCCUGGGCAGCUGAGCGAGACUCCAUCUUCAAAACAAACAAACAAAAAAAACACCCACAACGAGAAAAGCCUGCUUCUUCCUUUCAUGGAAAAUUCAUAGCGCCAAGGAAUUUGUGACUACCGGAUAGAAAUAAACUCCCUUUUGCAACUCUACCCA